GCUUCUCUCUCAUCCUCCUUGACCGAAAUCGCCGCCGCCGUCGCCGGAAUCCCAAUCCUCACCAAAAUUUCCAGAUUUUCUUCUCUUCCUUCCCCCUUUCCAUUUCUCCAACCAAAAUCAAGAAAUUUGGCCAUCCAACCCUCCAAAAACCCUAGAACCCGAAGCUAAAUUGGGGCUUUUUGUGAUUUCUUCUUUAAUAUCCAUCCUAAUCUAGCCUCUAUUCAUCCGAUCUACAUCUAUUUCUUCCUAAAUCCGAGUUUUUGAUUUGGAUUUGUGAUUUUGUUUGCAUGAAUCCGGUUUCUCCUUAAACCAUGAAGUUAGGCUAUGGGUUUGGCAAGGAUUUUUGGUAAGGAUCUAUCCAUGCAACCUUGUUUUCGAGUUUUUUUGGUUGAGAUGUUGAUGUUGGACGAAUUUGUAGGUGAAGAAGGCCAAGGAGAAGGAAUAGGACGUGAUUUUUGAAGAAGAAAGGGAAACACGAUCGUUAUGGAAGCUUAAGCGGAAAGCAUCAGAGUGUGGAGUACGCCAGCAUUAUCCAGGUUACAACGAGGUCAUUCCGGACGAUUUGGAUUAGAAGUGGGUCGUUGGCUGUUCCUGU